rnacentral:lncRNA from 1 species
CUGGUAUCUCACAUUUUCUAGAAGCUCCAUAGUUUUUAGAUGUCCCAUGAAACAGUCCCUUAAUGAUAGCCCUGCAGCAGCCAGAGGCACCCGCUGCUUGUAAACAAGAUAGCAGUUGGAAGUAAGGACAAGGAUGGACAUGGAAUUGGAUGCUGAUUGACAAACAAGAGAGAGAGAGAGACAGCGAGAGCAGGAACAGGAGCGGGGAGUGGGAGACAGAAAGGAGGCCUCCCGCUAAGCUGGGAGCCUGAUGCAGAGCUCGAACCCAGGACAUCGGGACCGUGACCCAAACCGAAGGCAGAUGCGCAACUACUGAGCCACCCAGGUGCCCCUAAAAAUUACUUUUUCUUUAAAUUUCCUGAAAACAGUAAAAUUCCUUUGCCAUUCUUUUCUUCCCCCAUACAUUCCUCUUUACUGUACUUUCAAAGUAAGCCUUUUUCAUAACCCUGAAGUGGUUUUGUCUUUAGGUUGUCGGUAAAAGCAAGUUGGCCUCUUUGACUCAGCCCAUUGAGAUAUGAGUGCACUGAAUGUGUGCAAUGGGCCAUUGCCAGAGUUGCUGUUUUUCAAUUUAUGUCUGAGCUGGAAAAGUCCAAGGAGAAUUCUACUUGUGUAGGUUGCAUAAUAGCCAGCAAACAAAGCUGAACUGGAUAAGAGCUUAAAGAAAAGAAAAGAAACAUAAUGUGUGAUCGAGGCCACAGAUACUGUAGUACAGGGAGCGAGAUCCUGUCAAGGUGAAAAGAGGCUGCAGAUUUACUAAGUGACUCAGUCCUUUCU